AGCCACUAUACCAGAAAGUCCCUUGGCAGGGGAUUGAAGGAAGUCUUUUUUGCUGGGGAAAGCCUCCAGUGGAUAACAGCAAGGAGCUGGUCUUCAGUCCUCCACUCCAAGAAAGUGAAUCUGCCAACUUUCAAGAGGUUGGAAGAGGAUUCAUCUCCAGUUGAGCCUCCAAGUAAGAACAAAGUCCAAUGAUAAUCUUAUUUGAAACUUUGUGAGACUUUCACAGAGCAUCCAGCUAAACUGUGACCAGACUUUUGACCCGGUGAAUCUAUGAGGUAAGACACAGCACAGAGGCCCUGACCAUGUUCUCAGAUUUCCGGGCCUCCAGAAUGAGACCCACAUGUGUAAAAAUAUUUACUCUCAUUUGAAGCCUUCUUUCCUGGCCUCCAUGGAGUUCGGAAGUUUUGAGACACAAGUAAAGAAGACAAGUAAACCAAUUCUACAGCAAGUCAAAAGCUGGCGAUUCUGGAACCAUCUUUGCCUCUAUGGUGACAAUUGAGGUGGUUAGCUAAGAAAUUGUGGUGAAUGAAAUGGCAGUUAAACCAUCUCACUUUUGUAAUUCUCUCUCAUUUCCGGGAUCACACUAUGUGGCAAUCCUAACCCCUCUGAAUGGGAAUUGCUGCUACCUCUUGCAUCCUUCUGUAAUCCCUCUAAGUCAUUGCUAACACCUUCCACUCCUCAAAUCAUUGUCAUAAUUAUAAAUCAAUGUGAGUGGGAGAGCUGGAUGAGAUGUCCCCACAUCAUGAAAUCCAAGAAGGAAUGCCCCUCUGCAACCUCUGCCAAUGCCAGCGUCUUCUUGUUGAUCCCAGACAUCCACCCUCCAUCUCUCCCCUUUCUGCCAAUACAGGAACUAACCCAAUUGAAGCAGAAGGUACUUAGUGAUUUUAUCUAUAACAAGCAACAUAAUGUGAACAUUUAGAAUGCACAUCUAGUUUUCAGCAUGUCAAAUCUAGAACUUCUCACCAUAACAUUACAAUAAAUCAGAAGGCAUAAAAUCAGUGAAAAACAAAUGUUGGGGGUAAAAAUAUUGAAAAAGUUUCUGAAGUUAUGUUGAAACAUUUUUUGCUUGGUCGGUUAUCAACAGAAGCCUGCACGUCUUGAGUAACUUAACUAAAGCCAAACUGUACUUGUAUAAAAUAUUACUGUUUCCUCUUUUGUGUGUUUGUGGCUUGUUGACCCUGUCCU